rfam:Beta vulgaris subsp. vulgaris Bvchr8_un.sca008.con0007.1, whole genome shotgun sequence.
UGGCUGUAGCAAAAUUAAUUGAGUUCAUUAGAAGCUAUCUGGCCGAUUGUUGUUAAUUACAUCAACUAAUUUGCUUACCGAGCUUCUAACAUUU